rnacentral:lncRNA from 1 species
UGGAUAUGGGUCCUUAAAAAUUCUACCACUUCUAAGCUCAGAAAUUGCUUUGGCAUUCUCAAAUUGAAGAUUCUUAAGUGGGACAUUAGAUUGAUGACUUGGUCUAGGUGGUUGGGUUGUUUCUGAAAUUUGGUACUGAUUGGCUUGAUAAUUGAUUUGGUUCUCUCCUCAUGGUAGACUCAGCUAACUAUUCUAUUUAUGUUUCUAAUCUAGCG